AUAAACAAUGUUUAUAAGUCUUUAGUUUACAUUUUAGACUAUUUGAAGACAAACAGGAGCAUAAACUGAAACUCCUGGAUUAUAAAAACUCACCAGAACAAAGWAUAAAGUCACAAUUUCACAUUUUCAGAUGUGAACCGCCGCUGCAGUACUCCCCCAGAGCCACAGAGGGCGCUGGUGUUCACAAUACAGCAGAGCUCUACAGAUAGCAGCUUCUCCUGAGGAAAAAUGGGUUUAUUGAUGCCUGUAAGGCCUUUGAUUAGCUUAGCACUAAAAGUUUGAUCAAUUAAAACAGGAUUUUAAUUUACUGGCUCUCCAGAUGCAUGUAGCAGCAACUGUGGCGAGUCGGCCUGGGCUUCUUUCACCUGCUUCACCUGGUUUUAUCUGUGGGGCAAAAGCUGAAAUGUUGGUUCAGAAACCAAACAUGACAGGAUGGUGAUGAUGAAGAGCCAGGCUAACAUUCAGGUGAGGAGGCUUCGCUCAGGUGAGGUAAGUUUACCGCAUGUCCCCGUUUACGGCUGUUUAAAAGCUUAAAGUCCCUGAUGAGACAUUGAGGGUGAGACGUUUGGUAACUCGGGUCAGUUUCUGUGAGCAUCUUACUGCCGUCACUUCGUGCUACUUCUCUUUGUGAUGAAUAAAUUAAUCCGUCAUUAUAAAUAUUAAAUAAUCUCAAGACUUUUUCUACGUUUAAUUAAUCAGAGCUUCAGUCUUUUCUUUCUACUGGACUGAAAAGUCUCCAGACCAACAGGAAUGAUAACCGACCAACACUGAUAAUAAAUAAAAUCUUUAAUGUCAGUUCUGUUUGUAUAUCCAGAGUACAGACAGAUAAAUACAACAACAUCCACUUCCUGUUUUCAUUCAAGUAAAACAAACACUUCAGUGCUUUCAGAGCCGAUGGAAGAUUUAACAGCAUGAAGUUCACUGGAAGAAAGUCAUCAUGCAGGUCAGGAUAUUGCAGAGAACUUUGGCUUCAAAACAACAACGAUGGUUAAAGUAGCAGACCUGAACGCAGCACAACGACCUUCCUGUGUGCUGACCAGCCGCUCGGCUCGGCCAAUCAGGGAGCUGCCUGAGUUACAUUCAGCAGUCAGACGGAGACGGCGUGGCUGGAACCAACCCCACCCCCAAUCAGAGACGACCUGCACAGGUCAGAGGUCAACAGAAAGCUUUGUCCAACCUGCUCCUCCAUGGAAUGCUUUUAUUUUGAAACAUCCACUGCCUUCUGCUUUCUCACUUCACAAACCGACACGUUUCAGUUAACGAUCACUUCCUCUAUUGGUAACUCGACCCAUUUAUUACUUCAGUAUAAACAUCACUAACACCUGGACACCUGGGAAGCCCCGCCCACUGACCCCUGAACUCUACAGGUUGGAAUCAGGAAACGAAGAGCUUCUGCUCAGACGGCCGACGCCAUCAGAUCGACUAACAGUCAAGAUGCAGGAGAACCCAGAGAGCAGAGCAUGCUAUCUGCCCCGUUAUCUGCCCCACCCCAUCAAUAUUUACCCCUGGGGAAAUCCAGCUGGUUUACUGUAGAUAAACACAGGAAGCAGCCGAGAACUUUCACAAUAAGAGUCCAGAUGGCUUCGUCCAGCAGAAAUGGUAGGAGACGUGAAACACACCUGGUCAUGGUGGCAACAGGCCAGAAGCUCAUUAGCAGUUAACGAGCUAACGCUAACUGGUGCUAACUGGGACCAGGUGACUGGUUCCUGGAAUCACCUGUCAGGUUCCACCUGCUGCAGUGUGACAUCAUGAUGAUGUCAUAAGCUGGAGGUGAUGCUGCUGGUCUACCAUGUUUGGAUUGUAAGUCUU